rnacentral:rRNA from 1 species
AGAGCGAACGCUGGCGGCGUGCUUAACACAUGCAAGUCGAACGCGCAGCAUUCUGUAGCAAUACAGGGUGUGGGCGCGUGGCGAACGGGUGCGUAACACGUGGAUAACCUUCCUUGAGGUGGGGAAUAACCCAGUGAAAAUUGGGCUAAUACCGCAUAACAUCGCGAUGGCACAUGCUGAUGCGAUCAAAGGCGCAAGUCGCCACAAGAGGGAUCCGCGGCCGAUUAGCUUGUUGGUGGGGUAAUGGCCUACCAAGGCGACGACGGGUA